rnacentral:rRNA from 1 species
UGUGAACAUACCUAUACGUUGCCUCGGCGGAUCAGCCCGCGCCCCGUAAAACGGGACGGCCCGCCCGAGGACCCUAAACUCUGUUUUUAGUGGAACUUCUGAGUAAAACAAACAAAUAAAUCAAAACUUUCAACAACGGAUCUCUUGGUUCUGGCAUCGAUGAAGAACGCAGCAAAAUGCGAUAAGUAAUGUGAAUUGCAGAAUUCAGUGAAUCAUCGAAUCUUUGAACGCACAUUGCGCCCGCCAGUAUUCUGGCGGGCAUGCCUGUUCGAGCGUCAUUUCAACCCUCAAGCUCAGCUUGGUGUUGGGACUCGCGGUAACCCGCGUUCCCCAAAUCGAUUGGCGGUCACGUCGAGCUUCCAUAGCGUAGUAAUCAUACACCUCGUUACUGGUAAUCGUCGCGGCCACGCCGUAAAACCCCAACUUCUGAAUGUUGACCUCGGAUCAGGUAGGAAUACCCGCUGAACUUAAGCAUAUCAAUAAGCGGAGGA